rnacentral:rRNA from 1 species
UGGGGAAUAUUGGACAAUGGGGGCAACCCUGAUCCAGCCAUGCCGCGUGAGUGAUGAAGGCCUUCGGGUUGUAAAGCUCUUUUGGCGGGGACGAUGAUGACGGUACCCGCAGAAUAAGCCCCGGCUAACUUCGUGCCAGCAGCCGCGGUAAGACGAAGGGGGCUAGCGUUGUUCGGAAUUACUGGGCGUAGAGCGAGUGUAGGCGGUUGCCGUAGUCAGGUGUGAAAGCCUUGAGCUCAACUCAAGAAAUGCACUUGAUACUGGGUGACUAGAGGACCGGAGAGGAUAGUGGAAUUCCCAGUGUAGUGGUGAAAUACGUAGAGAUUGGGAAGAACACCAGUGGCGAAGGCGGCUAUCUGGACGGUUACUGACGCUAAGACUCGAAAGCGUGGGGAGCAAAACAGGAUUAGAUACCCUGGUAGUCCACGCCGUAAAACGAUGGGUGCUAGACGUUGGCGAGCUUGCUCGUCAGUGUCGCAGCUAACGCGUUAAGCACCCCGCCUGGGGAGUACGGCCGC